rnacentral:rRNA from 1 species
AACGAACGCUGGCGGCAGGCCUAAUACAUGCAAGUCGAACGCCCCGCAAGGGGAGUGGCGCACGGGUGAGUAACGCGUGGGGAUGUGCCCUUGGGUACGGAACAACAUCGGGAAACUGGUGCUAAUACCGUAUAAUGACUCCGGUCCAAAGAUUUAUCGCCCAAGGAUCAACCCGCGUUGGAUUAGCUAGUUGGUGAGGUAAUGGCUCACCAAGGCAACGAUCCAUAGCUGGUCUUAGAGGAUGAUCAGCCACACUGGAACUGAGACACGGUCCAGACUCCUACGGGAGGCAGCAGUAAGGAAUAUUGGACAAUGGGCGAAAGCCUGAUCCAGCCAUGCCGCGUGAAUGAAGAAGGCCUUAGGGUUGUAAAGUUCUCUUAGGGGUGACGAUAAUGACGGUAGCCCCAGAAAAAGCUCCGGCUAACUCCGUGCCAGCCGCCGCCGUAA